rnacentral:rRNA from 1 species
GACGAACGCUGGCGGCGUGCUUAACACAUGCAAGUCGAGCGGUAAGGCCCUUUCGGGGGUACGACGAGCGGCGAACGGGUGAGUAACACGUGGGUGACCUGCCUUUAGCUCUGGGAUAAGCCUGGGAAACUGGGUCUAAUACCGGAUACGACUCCGCGGUGCAUGCUGUGGGGUGGAAAGCCUUGUGCGGCUGGAGAUGGGCCCGCGGCCUAUCAGCUUGUUGGUGGGGUGAUGGCCUACCAAGGCGACGACGGGUAGCCGGCCUGAGAGGGCGACCGGCCACACUGGGACUGAGACACGGCCCAGACUCCUACGGGAGGCAGCAGUGGGGAAUCUUGCGCAAUGGGCGAAAGCCUGACGCAGCGACGCCGCGUGA